rnacentral:lncRNA from 1 species
CUCUCUCUCUCUCUCGCUUUCUAUCUCUCUCUUGUUCCUCUCUUUCCCUUUAGCUAUCAUUGCUGAAUCCAAAUGGUCGAGGAUUCUUGCAACGCCAAAUCGAGAUGGAGAAGGACUCAUAUAAGAUCAUUUGUGUAUAAUUUGCAGUCAAUUGAUAAAAUAGCGAAGGCAAGCAAGAUGAGUUAAAUUCCAACAACAAUUUGUUUGUUUUUUUCAUCAAUUUGUGUUUGUCUUGUUUUUAUUUUCAUAAUUUUUUCUAAUUUUUCCAUCUACUUCUCAUCUCUUGAAUCUUUUUGUGACUGUGUUUUUGAAUCUCGAAGAGUUUUUCUUUGAUUUGGGUAAAUUUUGUCUUUGUUUUUGUUAUUUGUAAGAUAUUAAUGUUUAAUUUUUUUUUUAAAUGAUUUUGGAAGAAGG